UGACGGUACCAGAGGAAUCAGCAUCGGCUAACUCCGUGCCAGCAGCCGCGGUAAGACGGAGGAUGCAAGCGUUAUCCGGAAUGAUUGGGCGUGAAGCGUCCGCAGGUGGCAGUUCAAGUCUGCUGUCAAAGACCGGGGCUCAACCUCGGAAGGGCAGUGGAAACUGAACAGCUAGAGUAUGGUAGGGGCAAAGGGAAUUCCUGGUGUAGCGGUGAAAUGCGUAGAGAUCAGGAAGAACAUCGGUGGCGAAGGCGCUUUGCUGGACGAUAACUGACACUCAGGGACGAAAGCUAGGGGAGCGAAUGGGAUUAGAUACCCCAGUAGUCCUAGCCGUAAACGAUGGAUACUAGGUGUUGUCUGUAUCGACCCGGACAGUGCCGUAGCUAACGCGUUAAGUAUCCCGCCUGGGGAGUACGCACGCAAGUGUGAAACUCAAAGGAAUUGACGGGGGCCCGCACAAGCGGUGGAGUAUGUGGUUUAAUUCGAUGCAACGCGAAGAACCUUACCAGGACUUGACAUGUCGCAAAUCCUCCUGAAAGGGAGGAGUGCCUUCGGGAGCGCGAACACAGGUGGUGCAUGGCUCUCGUCAGCUCGUGUCGUGAGAUGUUGGGUUAAGUCCCGCAACGAGCGCAACCCUCGUGUUUAGUUGCCAUCAUUAAGUUGGGCACUCUAAACAGACUGCCGGUGACAAACCGGAGGAAGGUGGGGAUGACGUCAAGUCAGCAUGCCCCUUACGUCCUGGGCGACACACGUACUACAAUGGUGGGGACAGAGGGCAGCCAACCCGCGAGGGCGAGCUAAUCCCGCAAACCCUGCCUCAGUUCAGAUUGCAGGCUGCAACUCGCCUGCAUGAAGGCGGAAUCGCUAGUAAUCGCAGGUCAGCAUACUGCGGUGAAUCCGU
rnacentral:misc_RNA from 1 species